GGUAACGACGGCCGAUGGGGCGCGGUAGUACGGAGGGGGGAAGCGUUGUCCGGAAUGAUUGGGCGUGAAGCGAGGGCAUGUGGCCUUUUAAGUCUGAUGUGAAAGCCCCCGGCUCAACCGGGGAGGGCCAUUGGAAACUGGAAGGCUUGAGUACAGAAGAGAAGAGUGGAAUUCCACGUGUAGCGGUGAAAUGCGUAGAGAUGUGGAGGAACACCAGUGGCGAAGGCGACUCUUUGGUCUGUAACUGACGCUGAGGCGCGAAAGCGUGGGGAGCAAACAGGAUUAGAUACCCUAGUAGUC
rnacentral:rRNA from 1 species